UUGUUUAUGAUGAAAACUUUUACUCAGCUCACUCAGAGCUUUCUAGCGAUGCUGAUAAACUUCCUGUUUCCAACAUUCAUCAAAACUUCUGAUAUUUCAA
rnacentral:snoRNA from 1 species